GGACGGGUGAGUAAUGUCUGGGAAACUGCCCGAUGGAGGGGGGUAACUACUGGAAACGGUAGCUAAUACCGCAUAACGUCGCAAGACCAAAGAGGGGACCUUCGGGCCUCUUGCCAUCGGAUGUGCCCAGAUGGGAUUAGCUAGUAGGUGGGGUAACGGCUCACCUAGGCGACGAUCCCUAGCUGGUCUGAGAGGAUGACCAGCCACACUGGAACUGAGACACGGUCCAG
rnacentral:rRNA from 1 species